rnacentral:rRNA from 1 species
UACGAAGGGGGCUAGCGUUGUUCGGAAUUACUGGGCGUAAAGGGCGCGUAGGCUGUGCUGUAAGUCAGGCGUGAAAGCCCCGGGCUCAACCUGGGAAUUGCGCUAGAUACUGCGGCGCUGGAAGGUGGGAGAGGAUGGCGGAAUUCCCAGUGUAGAGGUGAAAUUCGUAGAUAUUGGGAAGAACACCGGUGGCGAAGGCGGCUUCCUGGACACCAACUGACGCUGAGACGCGAAAGCGUGGGGAGCAAACAGG